rnacentral:rRNA from 1 species
UACGUAGGGACCAAGCGUUGUUCGGAUUUACUGGGCGUAAAGGGCGCGUAGGCGGCGUGGUAAGUCACUUGUGAAAUCUCUGAGCUUAACUCAGAACGGCCAAGUGAUACUGCUGUGCUAGAGGUGCAGAAGGGGCAAUCGGAAUUCUUGGUGUAGCGGUGAAAUGCGUAGAUAUCAAGAGGAACACCUGAGGUGAAGACGGGUUGCUGGGCUGACACUGACGCUGGAUGCGCGAAAGCCAGGGGAGCAAACGGG